rnacentral:rRNA from 1 species
GCGUCAAUUGUGUAAUUCGUAAGGCGGACCCCUCAUGCCAGCGUUCUAAUUUUGAGUUUCCUUAACUGCCCCCGGGCGUGUUCGCCACCUCGUACACCAAAUUAAGCUUCGUUGCGCGUCUUGGAAUGGAUGCGAACUGUACCUACCCUUAUCUUCGUCUCUGCGUAGAUCUGCCAAGCCGGCGGGUAGUGUGUCCACGACGUACCGACAGCAGUCGAGCACAGCACUCUACAACCCAAUUCAGGGCGUUGCUCGCGUUGGGAACAGUAAUCAACGAUGCUUUCCCGUGAGAUUACUCUGACGGCCACUGUUUGGCCUCCUUCCACCCCUACUGCAGUCCAGGAGUACCGGGAAUACCCAUCCCGAUGUGUGCAGUAUGUUACCGGCCAUGUCUCCCGACGGUUGGGCGCUCCCCCUCGGUUAGGGUCUUUUGGCCAGCAUCAGGCCUAGCGUCAGACGUUGAGCUGACGCACUUCAGCCUUAGCGAUCAUUAGCGCCUAGUCGAACGGCGCCACUUAUGCAAGGGCCCAGAACAUGUGUGGCGGGCAGUGUGGUACCCUCGCCCAAGACGGUCUUCAUCAAUCGGAUUGGCGUUCCUCCCGCUAAUGGUGCCGUCCCAAGCACUGACCCCACUUCAGCAUUGUUCCAUCGGCAUUUCCCGCUUAAGACGUCUAUAGGUAGUGUGACCGCCGGCGAGCUCGUACGUA